rnacentral:rRNA from 1 species
GAUGGACGCUAGCGGCAAGCUUAAUACAUGCAAGUCGAGGGGCAGCAUGACUGUAGCAAUACAGUUGAUGGCGACCGGCAAACGGGUGCGGAACACGUACAGAACCUUCCUUCGAGCGGGGAAUAGCCCAGAGAAAUUUGGAUUAAUACCCCAUAGUAUUACGGAGUGGCAUCACUUUGUAAUUAAAGAUUUAUCACUUGAAGAUGGCUGUGCGGCUGAUUAGAUAGUUGGUGAGGUAAAGGCUCACCAAGUCUGCGAUCAGUAACUGGUGUGAGAGCACGACCAGGCACACGGGCACUGAGACACGGGCCCGACUCCUACGGGAGGCAGCAGUAAGGAAUAUUGGUCAAUGGACGAAAGUCUGAACCAGCUAUGCCGCGUGGAGGAUGAAGGCCCUCUGGGUUGUAAACUUCUUUUAUAUGGGACGAAAAAGGGCCUUUCUAGGCCAACUGACGGUACCAUGUGAAUAAGCACCGGCUAACUCCGUGCCAGCCGCCGCAGUAAGAC